AUACGGAGGGUGCGAGCGUUAAUCGGAAUUACUGGGCGUAAAGCGUGCGUAGGCGGUUUGCUAAGUCAGAUGUGAAAGCCCCGGGCUUAACCUGGGAACUGCAUUUGAUACUGGCAGACUAGAGUAUGAUAGAGGGGGUAGAAUUCCUGGUGUAGCGGUGAAAUGCGUAGAUAUCCGGAGGAAUACCAGUGGCGAAGGCGGCCCCCUGGAUCAAUACUGACGCUGAGGUACGAAAGCGUGGGGAGCGAACAGGAUUAGAAACCCUUGUAGUCC
rnacentral:rRNA from 1 species